GGAAGGUGAAUAAAAAUAAUGCGCCUAAAGCAGCUACGCGUUUUUAACUUUGCGAGGGCCAUGAAAAUUUGCUAAAUGACACGCCUCGAAUUCUAAGAAUUUAAAAAUAAAUAAUUAAUGAGGGCCACACAUUUAAAAAUUUUGCUUGGCACAGCGCGCCUCAAUUCCAUUUUUAAAGGAAAUAGCAUUUAAUUAAGUGAACUAUGGAUAUGCAUAUCCACAACUAAUUUGAGUUUACAUCACCACCACAUCACGAGAUUACUAUGGGUAGUUAAGUAUACAACACAAAAACGAGCAAACCCAAUUGCAGGACUAACGACUGAAGUCCGACUCCAGCAUUUAAUAGAACCAAUUCGGAGUCCACUAUGCAUUUACUUGCCCAAUGACCAUUUGGCCCAAACGACACUGAUUCUAUAGCUUGAUUCACAUUUCCAAAACGAACUCAAUGCUUAACCCAUCCAACUCAAAUGACUUCAAGUUAAUUUAAAAACAAACUUUGGCUUUGGCUGAUAUGAAAUCACGCUGGUAAUGUAAAUAUGAAUCAUCAAACUGAGCAACAAAAAAAUUGCUUGUUUUAGUUUUAGAUUUCCACUACAAUGAUCCAUGACCAUCUGAUUUAGGCUUAUACCAAGAUUUAUGCAUAUUCAACCAAGCAUGCCUUGUUUUCAAUCAAAGACAUAUUACACUAGAGAUCAACAUAUUUGCAUUCAUUAAAAUGGCAGUCUUAAAACAUCAAUUUAAGGAGCAAAACAUUCAGUCCUUUUAACCAGACACAAGCUAGAUCUUCAUGAACUAAAUGACAAGUUAAAAGCUGGAAAAGAAACAAAACUUGGACCAAAUUUGUAGAGUAACCUCAUGAAAGAAUAUGGAUCAAACUAGGCAUGAAUCCUAUAAAUACAUAAGAAAAACAACGAACAGAAGGUGUUUUCCCUGCAAAUCCUUCCAAUAUAAGAUGUAGGCGAACUCAUAGAAACUCUCAAUAGCAUAAAUGAAGAUGAUAGAAUACAGAUGCACUAAACUACAGAAUUCUUGAGAGAAACACAACUAAUAUUUGCUAUCAAGAAACUUAGUGCACAUCUUGAGCUUCCAAUUGAUUUUAUGACUUCAAAUUCAAAGGUCAUACAUUCAUGGGUCUAAGAAGUACCUAGAAAGCAAAAAGAAAUAAAAUAGUGAAACGUCAGCAACAACAAACGAUGGUCAGCCAUACCUGGAAAAGCAGAAAUAAAUAGAAUAGUGCAAGGUCAGCAAUUUAAAACGAUGGUCAGCAACAGUGCUAACUGAAUGAAGUCAGUUUCAGCUCCAAACCAAUUCCACACAGACCCAGAUUCAAUUUCAAAUCUCAAAAACAAAUGAAAAUAGCAUUCCAAACACAAAUUGAGCUCAAAAUCAACUUUUGAAAACCAAAUUAACCAUCCUGAACCCCAUUUACAUCAAAGGCUACUCUCUAGAGAUCAAUUUCAGAAAAGAAAGACCAAUGGAAUAGUGUUUUUUUUAAAAGAACCUCGGUCGUCCUAUUUUCUCUGAUUUUUAUCUCCCAAAGUCUCCCUUGAAUGGUAAGAUAGGAUGCCUUUAUAGGCGAGAAAAGUAGGGCAGCCUAGACAAUUCAUUUUUGCACUUAGACCCUUUUCCAAUUCUCAUUUUAGUUUCUUGCUUGUUAACCAAGCUAGCCUACUUUCAGUUUUCUAGACGCUUCUUAAACAGUUACCAAAAGAUUCCCCUUUUCCUAUUUCCUAAACUACCCUCCCAACUCUGAAAAUUACACUCCCAUGCCAACCAGGGCAUAAAUACAAUUGGCCAAAACUAAUGGGUUCAGAUAAAACCCAAUUCAACCCUUCCUGGGUCUUUUAAUAUUAGGAGGCUUCUUUUAUCAGUGAAGAGCCCACGUUUCACAAGCUAAACCAUAGAGUCUCAGGGACUCGUGAAGUUUGGGUUUUAAGCAAAAUGAAAACAAAGGAAAAAGAAUAAAAGCAAGUUUUCAAAUUUAACAUCUGAAGCCAUUAUUGACUUCACAAGCUUGGGACCAAACAGGCAAGCAUGAAAAAUGAAACAAAAAUGCAAAAUAACAGUCUAAACAGAUGAGGACACAAUGUAAAAAAAAAAGGACAAUAACGAC
rnacentral:lncRNA from 1 species